GUUUUACUUCAUGUGUCUCUCAAUUUGAAUCUACUUUUAAUUUUUCAGCUAUAAUACAACAUCUAGUAUGAUGAGAUCUUUUUGGCAUGAGGCAGCCAGAAGGCUAGCAGAAAUGUCGAUCCACGCUUCAGUUUCCUCAAGACUACAUGUUCCUUGCUGAGAAGAGAGCCUGUGAUCAUUGAAGUUAAAAAUGGUCUCAGAGAUGCAGAGAUCCAGAGCCAAGCACCAGGAGAAGCUCCCAGAAUGCAACUGAGGAGUGGGAAGAGAGAAGAAGAGCAACGGAGGUCAAGAUCAUGAAGGGGAAAUCCACAGAGACAACUGAACUGAGUUCGUGGAAACUCGCGGAUCCUAGACCUACAGCUGUGGAACCUCCAUGGGACCGAACUAGGACCUCUGCACGUGGGGGACAGUUGUGAAGCUUGCACUAUCUGAGGGGCCUCUGGCAGUAGGACCAGGAUCUAUUCCCGGUGCAUGAGUUAACUUGGGGGAUCCCAUUCCCUG